rnacentral:tRNA from 1 species
GCCUGGGUGGCUCAGUCGGUUGGGCGUCUGACUUCGGCUCAGGCCAUGAUCUCCCAGUCUGUGAGUUCGAGCCCCGUGUCAGGCU